CUGGGACAGGAUGGAGCCAUACUGGGAUGUGAUGGAUCCAUUCUGGGACGGAAUGGAGCCAUACUGGGACGGGAUGGAUCCAUACUGGGACGGAUCCAUACUGAGACGGGAUGGAUCCAUACUGGGACAGGAUGAAGCCAUAUUGGGACGGGAUGGAGACAUACUGGGAUGGGAUGGAUCCCUACUGGGCUGGGAUGGAUCCCUACUGGGACGGGAUGGAUCCAUACUGGGAUGGAUCCAUAUGGGGAUGUGAUGGAUCCAUACUGGGACGGGAUGGAGCCAUACCAGGAUGUGAUGGAGCCAUACUGGGCUGGGAUGGAUCUCUACUGGGAUGGGAUGGAUCCAUACUGGGACAGGAUGGAGCCAUACUGGGAUGGGACGGAGCCAUACCGGGAUGUGAUGGAGCCAUACUGGGAUGUGAUGGAUCCAUACUGGGAUGGGAUGGAGCCAUACUGCGAUGGGAUGGAGCCAUAUGGGGAUGUGAUGGAUCCAUACUGGGAUGGGAUGGAUCCAUACUGGGAUGUGAUGGAUCCAUACUGGGAUGGGAAGAAUCCAUACUGGGACGGGAUGAAUCCAUACUGGGACGGGAUGGAGCCAUACUGGGACGGGAUGGAUCCAUACUGGGAUGGGAUGGAUCCCUACUGGGAUGGGAUGGAUCCAUACUGGGAUGGGAUGGAGCCAUACUGGGAUGGGAUGGAGCCAUACUGGAACGGGAUGGAGCCAUACUGGGAUGGAUCCAUAUGGGGAUGUGAUGGAUCCAUACUGGGAUGGGAUGGAUCCAUACUGGGACGGGACGGAGCCAUACUGGGAUGGGAUGGAUCCAUACUGGGACGGGAUGGAUCCAUACUGGGACAGGAUGAAGCCAUAUUGGGACGGGAUGGAGACAUACUGGGAUGGGAUGGAGCCAUACUGGGAUGGAUCCAUAUGGGGAUGUGAUGGAUCCAUACUGGGAUGGGACGGAGCCAUACUGGGACGGGAUGGAGCCAUAUUGGGAUGGGAUGGAGCCAUACUGGGACAGGAUGGAUCCAUACUGGGAUGGGAUGGAUCCAUACUGGGAUGGGACGGAUCCAUACAGGGACGGGAUGGAGCCAUACUGGGAUGUGAUGGA
ensembl:lncRNA